UACGUAGGGUGCGAGCGUUAAUCGGAAUUACUGGGCGUAAAGCGUGCGCAGGCGGUUGUGCAAGACAGAGGGGAAAUCCCCGGGCUUAACCUGGGAAUGGCCUUUGUGACUGCAUAGCUAGAGUGUGUCAGAGGGGGGUAGAAUUCCACGUGUAGCAGUGAAAUGCGUAGAGAUGUGGAGGAACACCGAUGGCGAAGGCAGCCCCCUGGGUCAAGAUUGACGCUCAUGCACGAAAGCGUGGGGAGCAAACAGG
rnacentral:rRNA from 1 species